AUGUGAGAUUUGUUGCCUCCUGUGGCUGGACCUGGGUUUGGUGCAGGCUAUCGUUCAGUGUGCACUCAGGCCUCUCUUGCAAUGGCUUGAGUGCACGCUGGACGAUGACCUGGGCUUGGGUUCGGUUGCAGGAGGUGACAGCUUUCACAUGACUGGAGAAGACAUUACUGCAGAGAAGUCACAAGUGGUGCACGUGCAUAGUGGGCAAUUGAGUUACAUGACCACAAAGACUGUAUUGUAGGGGCGUACGUUGAAGUCAAGCUUUUUUUAUAUAGUGUGGGCGAAAAUGCCUUGAAACAGCUGGAGUUCCGAGAGUGCAUAGAGAGGAUAGGAUCUUUGGAGAGCUGACAGUGAGAGUUGGUGGAGAGAAG